CAGUAUUGAUGAAUCAGCAGGGGAGAAAUACCCGGAUGUGCUGCUGCUUCCGCCUGGAUUGUGUAGGAAGUACACACUGGUCACUGUGGAUACUGAGCUAUCCCAUAAUGCAGCGGGGCUGACGCGGAAGAGCUGCAGGAAUCCGCGCAGUGUAGUAAAUCCGGAUUGUGUUGGUGUUUAUUAUUGUACUGAUCAGUAGUACUGAACCGCAUGCAGCAGGUCCUGUCACACUGCUGGAGCCAGCGGCGUCACGUUACGUGCGUAUGACGUCACCUGCCAGCGACUGCUUAACGGCGUGUACUUCCGUACCCUCUCGGCAGUGAGAACGAUGCUGAGCCUAAUGAAGAUAAAGAAGUCUUCUGGCGCCUGGUGUGUAGAUUGAACCAUUCAGUUGUUGCAGCUCUAGUUCACAUCGUGACCAUCCUCCUCCUCCUCAUCAUCAUCAUCAUCAUCAU